CGGCAUACUGUCAUAAACCCUGGG
rnacentral:piRNA from 1 species